rnacentral:rRNA from 1 species
GCAUCGAUUGAAANACGCAGCGAAAUGCGAUAAGUAAUGUGAAUUGCAGAAUUCAGUGAAUCAUCGAAUCUUUGAACGCACAUUGCGCCCAUUAGUAUUCUAGUGGGCAUGCCUGUUCGAGCGUCAUU